rnacentral:misc_RNA from 1 species
GAUGAAGAACUCAGCGAAAUGCGAUAAUUAAUGUGAAUUGCAGAAUUCAGUGAAUCAUCGAGUCUUUGAACGCACAUUGCGCCCCCUUGUAUUCCGGGGGGCAUGCCUGUCCGAGCGUCAUUGCUGCCCUCAAGCCCGGCUUGUGUGUUGGGCCCUGCUCCCCCGGGGGCAGGCCCGAAAGGCAGUGGCGGCACCGCGUCCGAUCCUCGAGCGUAUGGGGCUUUGUCACCCGCUCUGUAGGCCCGGCCGGCGCUUGCCGACCCCCAUCAGUCUUUUUUCAGGUUGACCUCGGAUCAGGUAGGGAUACCCGCUGAACUUAAGCAUAUCAAUACGCGGAGGA